AGUCUUCUGUAUCUUCCAGGUUUAAUUUUAGUAAUUUGUAUUUUCCUAGAAAAUUAUCCAUUUCAUCUAGAUAUUCAAAUUUAUUUGAAGAGAGUUUUGUAAGAUAUUCUUAUAGAGUUCUCAUGAUCUCCUCUGGAUUAACGGUCUUGAACUUUUAAAUCGGGGGUCAGACUCACUAACGUGAGAAGAAAGGUAGAUGAGAAGCGAAGCCCAUGGCUCAAAGGGGAUGAGGACAGUGAGACGACACAGUCUGGUCUGAGAAGUUGGCACCCUUGAAGAAGCUGGUAAAUCUCAGGGCUUGGACUCCAAUGCCUCCCAAGGCCUUAGGGAAUUUGAAUGGCACAUCAACCACCCUAUACAGCAGAAAACAGAGGCCAAAGUGUUUCAGUGUGGCCCUACUUGACAACCCCAAGGACUCAGGUAAAUGUCUAGAUUUAGAAAGUACCCCACAAUGUAUUUUUACAUUCUCUUUUCUUCAAUAAUCUGGUUGGCAAACUUAAAUAUUUAACUAAAGCUAAAGAAAAAAUACUUCAAGGUGCAUAAAACUUCAACUUUUUUACUACUUAAAUUUCUACUACCUUGCUUAUGUGUCCCUUGUCUUCAUCACAUCCCUUCCUAUACCUCCAUCUUCCCCCCAUUAGUUCUAGGAUGCUAAUUCCAUCAGGUUCAUGAGAAUAAGACUAUGAUUCUCUCCCUAUUCUGUUGAUUAUAUUGAAAGGUCAUCCAUCAACAGUAUCUUCCCCUUAAAUUAUUCUGAAUACCGCAGGUGUUUAAAAAUGGCAGAAAUAGCUGGAUACUCUUCUAUAGUCAAAAAGGGUCCCCUAUCAGGCUGAUCCACCAUUGGCGUCUGCAAGAGCAAUAGCUCCUGGGAAUAUUAGGCUCAGAUAGCCAAAGAAGUCUGGGGAGGAAACUAAUAUCUGGUAAACAUGAAAAAUAUUACAAAUGUUAUGAUAGGAAUUUUCACAUACCAAUCUCAUUUGAUACCCAUAUUAACCACACUUAAUAAUGGGCAAAUAAUGGUUCAUAAAAACUAAACAAUUUUCUAGUUACAGAGCUAUUGAAUGGUAAGUCCACUACACCAGCAAGACCCAAUAAUGACAACAAUUGCUGACUGCAAAACCUGUCAAUAACUCUCAUGGCUUCC